CUCCACUAUUCCCUGGGCAUUGUAUAGCUCAACAAGAGAAGUUCAGAAUUUGUCUCUCAAAAGCCAAAAGAAAAAAAAUGGGCAGAUCACACGUUCUAGUGCUACCAUAUCCAGCUCAAGGGCACGUUAACCCCUUAAUGCACUUUGCUCAGGGACUAGCCAAUCUUGGAUUCAAAGUCACUUUUGUUAACACACACUUUAAUCACAAGAGAGUGCUUGCUGCAAUGGUAGGCAGAAAUGAUCCUACAGGUUCAUGUGUUAAUUUGGUCUCAAUCCCAGAUGGGAUGGGUCUCGAGGAUGAUAGAAAUGACAUUGGUAAGUUAUGUGAGGCCAUAUUGAUCGCCAUGCCCAAAAGCCUUGAGGAGCUCAUACAAAACAUCAACAAGACCUUGGAGUUUGGUGAUCAACCUAUCACUUGUAUUGUUUCUGAUGCUUGUAUGGCGUGGUCAAGGGAAGUUGCAAACAAGUUGGGGAUUAGACUUGCUAUGGUUUGGCCUGCAUCAGCUGCCAUUUACUCCAUCCUAGCAAAUAUUCCUAAUCUCAUUCGUGAUGGAUACAUCGACGAUGAAGGUAAGUUCUUUCCUUAAUUGUGAUUACUAGAAAAUCUUCUUACUGAUAGUACUGCUAAAACUUUUCAUGAUUGUUUAAGCGUAUGUUAAACAAUAGCAUUGAUAAUCAUGGCUGACUGAUAGCAAAUUUCUAUGUGAAUUGACUGUUAAAAUUAAAACUAAUGUAAAAUCUUGAGAAUCGAUGAAAUUUUAAAAGCUUUGGUUAUAAUUAAAAAUGCAUAAAAAGAUUUUUAAUUUUUUUUUUCCAUUUCACCUUUUCCUUUGGGUUAAAUUUAUAGGAUUCUCAAUCAAGAAACAGAGAAUUCAAUUGUCCUUAAGCAUCCCUAGUUUUGACAUAGAAAACAUUCCUUGGAGACUUGGCGACUCAAACUCGCAAAAGGCUCUUUUUAAAUACCUCAAAAGAACCUUCGAACAUUCACAAUUGACAGAAUGGCAGAUGUGCAACUCAUUUUAUGAGAUUGAGCCUGGAGCAUUUUCCUUGGUUCCAAAGCUUCUCCCAGUUGGCCCAUUAUUAGCAAAUAACGAUGCAGGGCAUUCAGGAGCACAGUUCUGGCAAGAGGAUUCUUCAUGCUUGACAUGGCUUGAUCAACAGCCAUCCCAGUCAGUGAUAUAUGUAGCAUUUGGCAGCUUGACAAUCAUUGAUCAAAUCCAAUUUCAAGAACUAGCCCUUGGACUUCAACUCACAAACAAGCCUUUUCUAUGGGUGCUUCGUCCAGGAAACAACCAAGAAUCAAACCAUGUCCGCCCAAAUGAAUUUCAUGGCAGCCAUGGAAAAAUUGUGAGUUGGGCACCUCAACAGAAGGUUCUAAGUCAUCCGGCUAUUGCUUGUUUUGUGAGCCAUUGUGGUUGGAACUCUACCAUAGAAGGUGUGAGCAAUGGAGUACCUUUCUUGUGUUGGCCUCACUUUUUAGACCAGUUUCAUAACACGAACUACAUUUGUGAUUCAUGGAAGGUUGGUUUGGGAUUUGACAAGGAUGAAAGUGGAAUUAUAAGGAAGGAGGAAUUUAACAAGAAGGUGGAGCUCUUGCUUGGUGAUAAAAAUAUAAGAGAGAAAGCCUUUGAGUUGAAGCAAAUUGCCAGAAAUAAUAUUGGAGAAGGUGGUCAGAACUCAACAAAUUUUAGCAACUUCAUCAAGUGGCUAGAGGCAUAGGGUGCGGAUGCUUAAAACUCCAAAUUUUCUGCAAGUUGCAAGAAUUUAGUUUAUGUAUUCUGUUUGAAUUUAAAUUCUGAAAUCUAGUGGCAAAAAUAGGUAUGAUAUGUCUAAACUUGUACAACUAAUCUUUUUGAGUAAGGUGCUUCGUUCCAUUUUUAAUUGAUUAGUUAGAAACUAUAUAUUAUAUUUUGCUCUAUUAAAAAAACUGUAUUGUUGAAAGUAUGUAUGGAAGAAAAGGCAUAAAUCAAACUAAGGUGUCAAUAG
rnacentral:misc_RNA from 1 species